GCUUCGGUGGUGUUGUGGUAGCACGCGUCCCCGGUGUCGAUGAAACGCGGGUUCGAAUCCCGUCUGAGGUC